rnacentral:rRNA from 1 species
UACGUAGGGGGCGAGCGUUGUCCGGAAUUACUGGGCGUAAAGCGCAUGUAGGCGGGCGACUAAGUCAGGGGUGAAAACCGUGGGCUCAACCUACGGCUUGCCCUUGAUACUGGUCGUCUUGAGUACAGGAGAGGGAAGCGGAAUUCCCGGUGUAGCGGUGAAAUACGUAGAUAUCUGGAAGAACACCAGUGGCGAAGGCGGCUUCCUGGCCUGUUACUGACGCUGAGAUGCGAAAGCGUGGGGAGCGAACGGG